GGGUUGUGAGGUUAAGCGACUAAGCGUACACGGUGGAUGCCCUGGCAGUCAGAGGCGAUGAAGGGCGUGCUAAUCUGCGAUAAGCGCCGGUAAGGUGAUAUGAACCGUUAUAACCGGCGAUACCCGAAUGGGGAAACCCAGUGUGAUUCGUCACACUAUCAUUAACUGAAUCCAUAGGUUAAUGAGGCGAACCGGGGGAACUGAAACAUCUAAGUACCCCGAGGAAAAGAAAUCAACCGAGAUUCCCCCAGUAGCGGCGAGCGAACGGGGAGGAGCCCAGAGCCUGAAUCAGCAUGUGUGUUAGUGGAAGCGUCUGGAAAGGCGCGCGAUACAGGGUGACAGCCCCGUACACAAAAGCGCAUGUGCUGUGAGCUCGAUGAGUAGGGCGGGACACGUGGUAUCCUGUCUGAAUAUGGGGGGACCAUCCUCCAAGGCUAAAUACUCCUGACUGACCGAUAGUGAACCAGUACCGUGAGGGAAAGGCGAAAAGAACCCCGGCGAGGGGAGUGAAAAAGAACCUGAAACCGUGUACGUACAAGCAGUGGGAGCACAGGUUUACCUGUGUGACUGCGUACCUUUUGUAUAAUGGGUCAGCGACUUAUAUUCUGUAGCAAGGUUAACCGUAUAGGGGAGCCGUAGGGAAACC
rnacentral:rRNA from 1 species